rnacentral:rRNA from 1 species
CAGUCGCCGCGGUAAUACAGAGGGUGCGAGCGUUAAUCGGAUUUACUGGGCGUAAAGCGUGCGUAGGCGGCUUUUUAAGUCGGAUGUGAAAUCCCUGAGCUUAACUUAGGAAUUGCAUUCGAUACUGGGAAGCUAGAGUAUGGGAGAGGAUGGUAGAAUUCCAGGUGUAGCGGUGAAAUGCGUAGAGAUCUGGAGGAAUACCGAUGGCGAAGGCAGCCAUCUGGCCUAAUACUGACGCUGAGGUACGAAAGCAUGGGGAGCAAACAGGAUUAGAUACCCCAGUAGUCCCUGUCUCUUAUAC